AGUCGAGCGAACGGACGAGAAGCUUGCUUCUCUGAUGUUAGCGGCGGACGGGUGAGUAACACGUGGAUAACCUACCUAUAAGACUGGGAUAACUUCGGGAAACCGGAGCUAAUACCGGAUAAUAUUUUGAACCGCAUGGUUCAAAAGUGAAAGACGGUCUUGCUGUCACUUAUAGAUGGAUCCGCGCUGCAUUAGCUAGUUGGUAAGGUAACGGCUUACCAAGGCAACGAUGCAUAGCCGACCUGAGAGGGUGAUCGGCCACACUGGAACUGAGACACGGUCCAGACUCCUACGGGAGGCAGCAGUAGGGAAUCUUCCGCAAUGGGCGAAAGCCUGACGGAGCAACGCCGCGUGAGUGAUGAAGGUCUUCGGAUCGUAAAACUCUGUUAUUAGGGAAGAACAUAUGUGUAAGUAACUGUGCACAUCUUGACGGUACCUAAUCAGAAAGCCACGGCUAACUACGUGCCAGCAGCCGCGGUAAUACGUAGGUGGCAAGCGUUAUCCGGAAUUAUUGGGCGUAAAGCGCGCGUAGGCGGUUUUUUAAGUCUGAUGUGAAAGCCCACGGCUCAACCGUGGAGGGUCAUUGGAAACUGGAAAACUUGAGUGCAGAAGAGGAAAGUGGAAUUCCAUGUGUAGCGGUGAAAUGCGCAGAGAUAUGGAGGAACACCAGUGGCGAAGGCGACUUUCUGGUCUGCAACUGACGCUGAUGUGCGAAAGCGUGGGGAUCAAACAGGAUUAG
rnacentral:rRNA from 1 species